GUUAUUGUCCAAGCCGCCUUCCCUUUUUUUUUCUUUUCACGUUCACCACCUAACCGCCAUCUCAAGCUGUUCUCUUCUUCUCAUCUAAUCUCCAUCAUAAGGAGAAACACUCCAAAGAAGACUCAUAACCAUAAACGAGUAACACCGGAGAUCCACUUCGUUAGUGCCGUAUCAACACCGCCGCCAUCAUCUUCAUCAAACCGUGAGAAAAGUCAGGUGGGAGAUCCGGGUCCGUAACAUCUCCAAAUCACCAGCACUGAUCACCACUAUCUUGACCGUGAGGAAGUCAGCGUGGAAUUAUUUAUUCAACAAAUAAUUCUUUUAUAAAGCUUAGACCGAGGCUUGUUGGAUAAGUAUUAUUUCUCGAGCAUUUCCGUUCCAUCCCCGGUUUGACUAAGAUGCCGCCAAAGAGAGGAACUAAGCGUACUCGCACCGUGAGAGCCAGAGUUGAUGCUCGCGAGGUUGCAGAUGACCAGGCUCCACCAGUGGAUGUUCAGACAGAAGGUGUGCCGCCAGUAGCCCCACCGAUUGAUCAGGCUGCACUCAUGCAGAUGGUUCAGGCAGCAGCUACGCAAGCUGCUCAGGCUGCCAUUCAGCAGGUUACCCAGGAAGCAGCUCGGGUUGCUGCACAGGAAGCUGCUCGAGUAGCCGCACAAGAAGUUGCUCGCCAGUUGGCUGCCGCUCAGGUUCCACCACAGCAGGUCCCAGCAGCGCAGAUUCCUCAGGUACCAUUGCAGCAGGUUCCAACAGCGCAUAUUCCUCAGGUACCAUUGCAGCAGGUUCCAGCAGCGCAGAUUCCUCAGGUACCAUUGCAGCAGGUUCCAGGCCAGCAGAUUCUGCCACCUCCACCGCCAUUACCACAGGUUUAUCCAGCUCAUGAUGAGAGGUAUUACCGACUCACCAGUAUGAUGAAAAAUAUGGGUAUGGAGCAUUUUGUAGGAACAGUGGAUCCUACAGCUGCUUAUGAUUGGAAGUUGAGUCUGCAACGGAAGUUGGAGAAUAUUAAUUGUCCCUCAGAGUUUAAGCUUAGAUUGGCUAUGCAGUAUUUACGUGGAGAUGCAUUGGUAUGGUGGGAGGGAGUGCGAUUGAACCAUGGGCCUGACAUUCUCACUUUUGAAGAUUUUAUCGAGGAGUUUGAUAAGAAGUACUUUCCGAAACAAGCUAUGGAUAGAAAGAAGAGGGACUUCGAGCAUGUGAGCCAGGGUGACUUAUCGAUCAAGCAGUAUGAGGUUAAGUUCAACCAGCUUCGCAGGUUUGUUGGAGGUGGUAUUCCUGAAGAGGAGUUGAUCAGGAAGUUUUUGGAUGGGAUGCGUUUGGAUAUUCGCAACAAGUGUAAUGUCGCCACUUACUACAGAUUGGGAGACUUGGUGGAGAAAGCAGCUGAACAAGAAGCAGGUUGGAUAGAGGAACAGAAACUUCUCAAAGAAGCCCAACCUAAAUCUGGAAAGACUUCAGAGUCACAAAAGAGAACUUGGGAACAAUUGGGAGCACCUAAGUGCGGCAAAUGCCAUCGCCACCAUUUUGGAGAGUGUGUCCAGUGUCAUAAUUGUGGAAGGAUGGGACAUGUGUCCAAGUAUUGUCGGAGCAGGCCUGUCGAUGUUCAGGGUACCGGGCAUAUUGCAGCGGGACCGGGUAGUUGCUAUAACUGUGGUCAGACAGGUCAUUUUUUUAGGGAGUGUCCGACGAGGGGACAUGCUACACUUCCACCACUGCCUAAGCGCCAAGCCACUGAUCCAUGAUUAUUUCCAGUAGGAGGCAGCGAGAGAGUUAAGCCAACUGUUGGUACGCAUCUUUUCACCUGGUAAUUUAUGUUUGCGCACGGUUUAUUUAUUUAUUUAUUUAUUAUUUUUUUUUUUUUUGUGUGGUUAUCAUGUGUUUUUAGAUAGAGAAAAAAAAGCGUUAGUUCAGUGACAGUUGAGUGUGAGAGCUUUCACCUCAUUUGAUAUGGAGGACCGCAUAGUUCAGAGUGUAGCUAGCAGAGAAUUUUUUUUCUAAAAGAGUUAAGUCAAGUUGAAGACAUCUUUUCUCUUUCUUGGCUUAGUAUUUGAAUUCGGGGACGAAUUCUUUAUUAGUGGGGAAGAAUUGUAACGACCCGGUUACGUGAGUCGGGUUAUAAUUCAUUAAUUUGAAUUAUAGUUAACCGAACUUACCGUAAUUUGCAUGUGUUUAGUGCUAAACGGGGCCGUAUUGGUAUAUAAUAUAUGUAUCUACUUCUCCAUGAAAAACCUAGACCAUCGUUAUUGUCCAAGCCGCCUUCCCUUUUUUUUUCUUUUCACGUUCACCACCUAACCGCCAUCUCAAGCUGUUCUCUUCUUCUCAUCUAAUCUCCAUCAUAAGGAGAAGCACUCCAAAGAAGACUCAUAACCAUAAACGAGUAACACCGGAGAUCCACUUCGUUAGUGCCGUAUCAACACCGCCGCCAUCAUCUUCAUCAAACCGUGAGAAAAGUCAGGUGGGAGAUCCGGGUCCGUAACAUCUCCAAAUCACCAGCACUGAUCACCACUAUCUUGACCGUGAGGAAGUCAGCGUGGAAUUAUUUAUUCAACAAAUAAUUCUUUUAUAAAGCUUAGACCGAGGCUUGUUGGAUAAGUAUUAUUUCUCGAGCAUUUCCGUUCCAUCCCCGGUUUGACUAAGGUGAGACUGACCAGCAGGAGUAAUUGCUAUCGGAUUGGUGCUUUUGGGCGUUUUCUUUAGUUUUUUUUUAGACUUGCGGUUUUAUGUUUUAUUGAUAUUUUCAGAGUUUAUUUUAUUAUUUGGAUUUAUGACUAUUUAUUGGAUUUAUGGAGUUUGGAUACGAUUUAUGAGGAUUAAUAAAUGGAGAUUUCAUGAA